rnacentral:tRNA from 1 species
GGGCCCGUAGCUCAGCGGCAGAGCAGGUGGCUCAUAACCACUCGGUCGCAGGUUCGAAUCCUGCCGGGCCCA